CAUGCCAGCAGAGCAGGGGAGUAUGAGGUGUGCUGUCCAUCCCUCAGCCCGCAGGGGCCUGGGCCACACUCGGCCUCGUGACUCUCCCAGAACCACAAGCAUCAUCUGCUGUGGAUAAAGGAAGCCACACGUGAACAGGUGUUCAGAGCUCAAAUUAAGGAACUACUACGAUGUGGGGGAUAAUGAAGCUGCAGAUUAAAAGAAAACAGAAGAUUAAACUCAAGCAGAGAAAGGAUGUAGGCAUUCAAAAGGGGUAGAGAAAGGGAAGGACCCUGGCAGAGGCAAGCAGGUGCAAAGCCUACUCAACGCCAAGCAAAGUCAGGGUCAUGCUUCCACAUGCUAAAAAGAUGGCCUGUGGGUUCCUGCCACAGAAGAGGUGACUAAUGAGAAAUUGCCCAGGAUUUCUGCCAGUGUAGACUGUGAAGCUUGUAAAGCAAAUGGAACUUUCGCCUAGACGAAGAGACGGUCCCGCUGAGGCGAUUAUCACUCUACCUCAGGAUCUGGCCUGACCUGCAGGUCUGCAAGGAAGAGAAAAAACUUGGCUUGGAAGUGCCGCUACCUCUUUUGUCCUUUCUAUGACUUGGGUGAGAGUAACGGAAAGAAAAGAAAAAAUCCCAAGUUUGGAUGAAAGGAGCUAUUCAGCCCUUUUGGAUAAGAACCAACAAAUAAUACGGGGAUUUCCUUCUUCGUUAUUUUGCUUUCUCUACUCUGCAAGCUUCAGAAUCGGCACACAAACUGCCCCCUGGCCCCCAGAGUGGUGACUCGAUUGUAUCUAAAGGCAAAGAAAUGCCUCAGUCACUUCUGGCUCUGCAGCCUCUUGGCCCUUUGGUCAGAAUGUCUGUGCUCCCCUGUCCACCAGCCUUAUGGUUGAGCAUUGAACGUGACCAACCUGCUGGCCACACGAAGAUUUAUUAGGGGGUGAGGUGAGAGCUGAGCUGUGUGGUACAGGCCCCAGAGGGUGGCUUCGCUGACCACCUUUUGUGGAAAGAAAGAUACCAAGCAGCAAGCAUUUAUAUGGACCCCCAUGCCCUUCCCUUUGGGGAUCCCUCUGACCCUGUCUUCCUCUGAGACCCCAGUGUCUGGAUUUUUCACACUCCUGGAGGUCUUUCCAGUCUGGCUUGCCUCCCACUCAGCAGCGACCUCCUGUGGCCUCUCCCAGGCCCUGCUGUUAACAGGUGUAGAGCCACUCAAGGCCUGGACUAAGGCUCAGAACAACAGCUACAAAAGCAAUAGGACAGCAAAAGAGAAAUCAAAAGAGAAUGUUCGCACCCAAAGGGCAGAAGAGGUGAUCCGUGCAGCUGGUGAGGGUGACUGCUCCAAUGGCUGCUGCUGUGGGAUGUGGAAACAAGGGCUUUGGGCUCCCCUCAGAAACCUUAAAAAUAAGCCCCUCGCAUUUAUAGGAAGCAACAGCAACAGAACGUGAGAGUAAGUACCCAGACAAGGAACAGUCACCCGCAGGCCAACCUCCAGCAACAGCGGGAAGCAGGCUGCUGUUGGUUCUACACUAGGGCUGUCUGUGGGUCUCACUCCUCCCGUGCAUAAGCGAAGGGUCCCAGAACAAAGCUCAUCUGGGAAAGAAAACCAAGGGCCCAAGGCAAGGAGAAAGAUCAGAAAAUGGGAAUGCUCCUCAGUUCUCACGCAGGGGAGAGGGAGAAGUCCCAUAGGGAAUCAGGGGACCUGAGAAGCCACUUGGGGCUCAGCUGACACUCAGCAGGUUUCUGGUGGGUCCUGAUCUGCCCUGAAGUGAAAAGCUUGGAAGGGAAAAGCAGGGAGCUUGGGGGAAAGGGCUUCUGGCUCCCUAGUCUGCCUGGCCCAUGGAUUUCCCUGCAGAAAAUGCUAUCACCGCUUUUGUGCAGUGACCCAGUGGGUCCUAACCUAAAAUAUCAACCCAAAUAUGCUCAUCCCACCAGAGAGAGAACUGCAGGGUCAGGCCGUGCACUGAUGGCCUCACUGUAUUCGCUUUCACGAUAUCGGGGAAGGAAAGAUUAGAAGAGGAGGCUGACCAUUUCCCAUCCCCACACUCUACACACCAACCAAUCUUCCCAAAAGGGAGGGACACAAAGAACUACAUUUAUCGCUGGAGAACCCUUUUCUGACAUCUACCAGAACGAAUGUCCUGCCUUCUCUUCAAAACCAACACCAUCCAUAAAACCAACACAACACAUCCUCGUGUCUAUGAGAGAGAAGUUGGCUUGGGUUUAAUCCACUGCAAAUUAAUACUCUGCCCAAACCCCUCCCAUAGCCCAUCCCCAUUUACCUGGGAUUACAGCUGUUACUAGUGACACCAAGUUAGGGGCUGGAGGAGGGAGGCCACACGGGACAUUAUCAGGAAGACAAGGUAUAAGGCAAGCAGAAUGGCACACCCAUGAUUCUUUGUAAACAGCCACAUUUCCAAAUAGUGUGACCAACAGCAAGGAUCACUGUCAGCUUUCCCCACUCCCACUCCAUGACCCCACUUACUCUAUUGGAAAACCCUGCGGUCUUCAACAUCUGUCAACAUUUCAGUUACUUAAACUCAACUAUGUGAUUUAAAAAAAAAUAAAGGCCGUGGUCAAAGACAUUCACCACCAGAUAUGGACUCCAGAAAGCAACUUAACAAUCUCUAGCUUCCAAUCCACUUUAAACCACAUGGGACAUGCUGGACAACAUGUAACAUACCCAACCUGACUUGACUGGCUUGUUCUUAGGAUCAACGGAAAGAGGGGCACCAGGGUGGCUCAGUCAAUGAAGCGUCUGCUUUCGGCUCAGGUCAUGAU